GAUCCUGGCUCAGGAUGAACGCUAGCGACAGGCUUAACACAUGCAAGUCGAGGGGCAGCGGGGAGUAGCAAUACUCUGCCGGCGACCGGCGCACGGGUGAGUAACGCGUAUGCAACUUGCCUAUCAGAGGAGAAUAGCUCAUCGAAAGAUGAAUUAAUGCUCCAUAAAACAGGGGUUCCGCAUGGUGAUAUAACCAAAGAUUUAUCGGUAUGAGAUGGUGAUGCGUCCG
rnacentral:rRNA from 1 species